GUAGUCUUAUUAUAAUCUAAUAAAACUUUCAACAACGGAUCUCUUGGCUCUCGCAUCGAUGAAGAACGCAGCGAAAUGCGAUAAGUAAUGUGAAUUGCAGAAUUCAGUGAAUCAUCGAAUCUUUGAACGCACCUUGCGCUCUUUGGUAUUCCGAAGAGCAUGCCUGUUUGAGUGUCAUGAAAAUAUCAACCUUGACUUGGGUUUAGUGCUCUUGUCUUGGCUUGGAUUUGGCUGUUUGCCGCUCGAAAAGAGUCGGCUCAGCUUAAAAGUAUUAGCUGGAUCUGUCUUUGAGACUUGGUUUGACUUGGCGUAAUAAGUUAUUUCGCUGAGGACAAUCUUCGGAUUGGCCGAGUUUCUGGGACGUUUGUCCGCUUUCUAAUACAAGUUCUAGCUUGCUAGACAUGACUUUUUUAUUAUCUGGCCUCAAAUCAGGUAGGACUACCCGCUGAACUUAAGCAUAUCAAUAAGCGGAGGAAAAGAAACUAACAAGGAUUCCCCUAGUAACGGCGAGUGAAGCGGGAAGAGCUCAAAUUUGAAAUCUGGUGGCCUCAGGCUAUCCGAGUUGUAAUCUAUAGAAACAUUUUCCGCGUUGGCCCAUGUACAAGUCUCUUGGAAUAGAGCGUCAUAGAGGGUGAGAAUCCCGUCCUUGACAUGGACUACCAGUGCUUUGUGAUAUGUUUUCAACGAGUCGAGUUGUUUGG
rnacentral:rRNA from 1 species